GAUGAACGCUGGCGGCGUGCCUAAUACAUGCAAGUCGAGCGAACGGACGAGAAGCUUGCUUCUCUGAUGUUAGCGGCGGACGGGUGAGUAACACGUGGAUAACCUACCUAUAAGACUGGGAUAACUUCGGGAAACCGGAGCUAAUACCGGAUAAUAUUUUGAACCGCAUGGUUCAAAAGUGAAAGACGGUCUUGCUGUCACUUAUAGAUGGAUCCGCGCUGCAUUAGCUAGUUGGUAAGGUAACGGCUUACCAAGGCAACGAUGCAUAGCCGACCUGAGAGGGUGAUCGGCCACACUGGAACGGAGACACGGUCCAGACUCCUACGGGAGGCAGCAGUAGGGAAUCUGCCGCAAUGGGCGAAAGCCUGACGGAGCAACGCCGCGUGAGUGAUGAAGGUCUUCGGAGCGUAAAACUCUGUUAUUAGGGAAGAACAUAUGUGUAAGUAACUGUGCACAUCUUGACGGUACCUAAUCAGAAAGCCACGGCUAACUACGUG
rnacentral:rRNA from 1 species